GAGUAAUUCGUGGCUCGUCUACGUGUAUUAAUACGCGAUUGUGGUACUUCCGUCUGCUUCAGUAGGUGCCGUGAGAUACAAUUGUUCACGGUUGCCCGCUCAAACUAUAUUUGUCCGUGAACACGUGAUUCAUCACUUGGUGAUCGGUCAAACGGAUGUCUGCUCGGCCGAUAUGACGUCUGCUUAAGGGGUCAACUAACGAAGAGUCAUACGUGAAUUCUAGUCGAGUAUACUCAGAAUCUCAGCGUCCUCAUUAUCAGGACACGCUUUGUCCUUGAUGCCGAAGUUGCCACUUCGAAAACGUGCACAGGAUUUCCUGAUUAAAGAGGCAUGUAUUGGUGACAAUUGAUGGUGAUCGGUGCACACCCAGACAUUCUAAUGCGUGAGCAGGUGAAGGCAGUCGCAAAAUCUAGAAAUAUUACCGUAUUCCAUACGAUGUUGGCCUAUCUCCAAUAUCAGUUUAGUCGAUCGGGACUUCCAGGAAGCGAAUUAAAAUAGAUGAAAAGCACUGUAAGGUAUUUGUUAAAGCUGAUAAUCACGAACUUUUCGAAACAAGUAGUUUACCAAAAAAUGCUAGGCGGUAGCUACGAAUAAUCUUCGUGUCCAUUAAUCUAGAGGGAAAAAGGCCGACGUCAAUGAAUUGAUUAAGUACACUAUCUACAGGGCGAACGUAUAGCUUGGUCGGGACAUCAGCACUUCCACCUACCUAUCCGGCUUUGGCGGUUUCGAGAAUCCCAAGCAUACUGACAUCGUUUAGCUGAAACGAUGCUUGGCUCGUCUGCCGAGUCCUUGCCCGAAUCGGAGUACGAAUGUCAAAAGAAAUAACAGUGCCAGAAGCUCUAAAGCGUUUGUUUGUUAAGCUUAUCAACAUUAUCUUCAAAAUGACGAGGAUUCUGGAGUUGAUCAUGUUCAAAAUUGAG